GCCCUGAUAGCUUAAUUAAAGCACUGGUCUUGUAAACCAGAGACUGCAACUUAACCAUUGCUCAGGACU
rnacentral:tRNA from 1 species